UCGGAGGCAGCAGUGAGGAAUAAUGCACAAUGGGCGCAAGCCUGAUGCAGCAACGCCGCGUGAGUGAAGAAGGCCUUCGGGUCGUAAAGCUCUGUCCUGUGGGACGAAACAAAUGACGGUACCACAGGAGGAAGCCCCGGCUAACUACGUGCCAGCAGCCGCGGUAAUACGUAGGGGGCAAGCGUUAUCCGGAAUCACUGGGCGUAAAGGGUGCGUAGGUGGUUCCUCAAGUCAGAAGUGAAAGGCAGUGGCUUAACCACUGUAAGCUUUUGAAACUGAGGAACUUGAGUGCAGGAGAGGUAAGUGGAAUUCCUAGUGUAGCGGUGAAAUGCGUAGAUAUUAGGAGGAACACCAGUGGCGAAGGCGACUUACUGGACUGUUACUGACACUGAGGCACGAAAGCGUGGGGAGCGAACAGGAUUAGAUACCCCGGUAGUCCG
rnacentral:rRNA from 1 species